rnacentral:lncRNA from 1 species
CUUUAGGAGAGCCUUUAACUAUAUAACAGACCCAUCCUGCUUAGAUGAAGAGCUCAGUUUUAUUUAUAGAAUAGGCUUUGAACAUGGCUAUUCUAAACGUUUUUCAGAUAACAUCCUUCGUAAAGUUAAGGAAGAAUUUGGUCCCAGUCCUCCACAGAGUAGCCACACAAUGGAUGGAGCGGGAUUCAUAUCAAUACCGUAUCAAUUUAAACAAUCAGAGGUCGUGCGACAACUUGUGCAGAAAACACAGAAGAAAAUCGCCUACAAGAGGCCGCCUACUUUAUUUAACUCACUGCAGAAUGAAAGAGACAGA